CGCAAAGGGUCGCGGGCGGAGGAAGCGGGCCUUGCACUGGAUGUGCUGUCCCGCCCAGCCGGGGGCAGAGCGCCGGGCCGGGCCCGACCUGUCCGGGGAUGGACGGACGCCCCCGGCGCCGCGACGGGACAAGAUGGCGGCCGUCCGGGUCAACGACGGGCGCUCGUAGAGGAGUCCCGCGCCUCUGCGCUCCUUAUAUAGCCUCGGGGGCGGGGCGACAGCUGUGAUUGGCUCAUCAGUCUGCCUUCCUCGCCGCUCCGCCCCCCAGCACGUGCCGACACUAUUCACCCUUUCUGAUUGGCUCCGCAGCGAGCGCGUGUUCCAGCAGCCAAUGAGAGGCCGCUGAAGGGGUUGCCGGCGCGGCACGGGGGUCGCCCGCGUUCCCUCUGAGGUGCGGCGCCAUCUUCUCGCUUUCGGGCCCGCCCGGCGGCAGCAGCCGUGGCCCCCGUGUCGCUCCCGCCGCCCACCGGCCGGGCUGCCGGGGUGCGGAGCCGCUAGGCCGCGCUAUGGAGCCGCGCGCCCGCCUUGGGGCCCGACCUGCAGCCCGACCUGCAGCCGACAGCUGCUCCCGACAGCUGCUCCCGGCCGCGCCUCGCAGGGCGACUCUGCCGGAAUUGGCAGCAGCAGCAGCAGUGUUGACACUGUCACCUAAGUGAUAACCGCGAGCAAACGUCUACCGCUCAGCUGGCAGCGUGCAGCGGGCCAGCGGGCGCUGGGCAGAGCAGCCAGCAGUUGCCAUUGGACGUGGUUACGCGCUCAAGUCUCUGAUUUGGAAUAUUGAAUCAGACAGCAGAUGGGUAUCUACAGGUUACUUUGCACUGCCAAGGUAAUUUUCCCUUCUGUUUUUUGACUUGAGAGCUUAUCUGGAAGCUAAAACCAGGCUAUUUCACUAGCAGAACGAUAUUUUCUCUGUAGAAAUAAGGGUGAGGGAAAAAUUCAGGAAACUCUCACUUCCUUUUAAACCUGCUUUAUAAGCAGAUGUAAAUUUCAAAUUUCAAAAAGCUUUUGAGUUAGCCCUGUACCAGUAAGAGCUGUUACUUUUCUCUUUUGAGGGCUGUGAUUUCUGUCUGCUACACAAAGGUUACAAUAAAAGCUUACUGAGAUUGGGAGGCUUCAUUUCAUCAUUGUGUCCAGGUAGAGCAGCUUAUUAAUGGAAUGGGGCUCCACACUUGUGUAAGUCAUGCAAGUUUUAUGGCUUUUUCUAGGCCAUGACCUUUUAAUAUUUCACUUUGCUAUCUGAGAAGCAUUGUGGUAGCAAAUAGAAAGGAAUGAAUAUUCAUUUCUUGACUAGAACAAUACUUUUAUGUGACAAGACUUGCUGAAACAAGCAAACAAAAAAACCCCAAACAAACAAUAAAACCUCAAACAAAAAUAGUUUUCAGUCUUCAAAACUUGAAAUGCAUUUUGGGGUUUCCCCUUUUAAGAGCCUCUCAGUUCACUGCAAAAGUCUCUGGAAACACUUAAGUUAAUCCUUUCAAGGUGCUUCUGAACUUUUGAAAUAACUCCCAUGUUCAGAUUUGAAAUGAGUGGAAUCUGUUUUGCAUUCAGUGUAAACAGCAAAGCUCGUUCCCUAGACCUUGGAACAGAGCAGAAUGUAAAGGUUUUUACUUGGCUUGAGUGUUUUUCCUUCCUCCUGCCCUUUCUGUGGAAAGAAAACUAUUUUAAUUACUGUCCUUAUUGCACAUAUUUUCUCUGGAUAAAUGCACUUUCCUUUUGCAUCAGCUCUUAUAAAUCUAAUAUGUCUGAUCUCUCUUUUGAUAAAUUUAAAACUUAUUCCACUGAGGUAUAAUGUGUCUCUGACAGUGAUAACGAGCAGUGCCCAUAUAGCUUUAUUCCUCAUACACUUUUGUAAGUGAGAUUAGCAAGAUUCCAGGUGAGAAAAGCCUUAAUUAUUUGCAUUCUUGGCUGGGAUUGCCUAUGGGAGGGUCAGAAACCACUGAAUAAUAAUAUAGUUUCUGGACUUGUGGACCUUUUGUGCAGGAGACCACACCACCAGGGUCACAGAACAGCCAUCACGUGUGAAAUGUAAACCCUCAUUCUCAUCACCAUUGUUUUCUGAAAACAGGCUGAAGUAUGUUAUAUCUGAUAAAAUCUCAUCCUUAUUUAUUUGAUUUAUAAGGAAAUAAGACCUAGUGAACUUUAAUGAGAGGAAUUCCUAGUGUUCAUUGCUGAAUUUGAGGAUUUAUUUGGGGAGUAAAACAUGAAAAAUUCAGGAAACUCCCACUUCCUUUAAACCUGCUUUAUAAAUUGUAAAUUUCAAAUCUUUUAAGGGGACAGUACCAAUCUAAUUACCAGUCUCACUUGUGAGAUGAUAUUUGGAGCCCUGUGUCCAGUUCUGGCGCUUCCAGUUCAAGAAAGAUACUGGGAUAUUGGAGGCAGUUCAGUGGAGCCGCCACCACCACGGUUGGGUGUAGCAGCGUAUGAUGGACAAAAAGAGCCCAAAAAACUGGAUUUCUUUGUCUUUCAGCAGAGCGGGUGGAGGGUGGAUUUUAUUACUGCCCUACCUGGGAGGUGUAGAGAAGAUGGAGCAAGACUACUUCUCUUGGCAGUUUGUGAUGCCAGAACCAGCAGCAAUUAAUAGAAAGUGGGAAAUUUGCCACAAAGGUGUUUAAUUACUGCGAGGGGUGCUUGGAGGGGUUGUGGGCUCACUGUCACUGGGCAUCCUCCAGGCUCUGAGCAACCUGCUCCGUGACCUCCAGCUGUACUUCUGAUCUAAACUGCUCUUUGAUUCUGCUCUAAUGCCAUGGAAAACAAUGCUUCCUACACCAUUGCAAGACCCAAAUAGGGGCCCUAGACUUUAACCUUAGUCUCUGCAGCACAAGGAGAUACAGGAGAACACCAACUUUUCAGAUGCUUUGAGUCUUUUCUAAGUAACUGUAAUUCGUCUUAGCUGUAUUUCAGUAUCUCUUUAACCAACUUAGCUGAGGAUUAUCUUUAAUUCACUGCAAAGCAGCUACUCUUCUCAAGUAAUUAUGAUAUUUAUACAGACAUGAGAUAAGUUAAUUGUUCUACAUAAUAUUUUCUUGCAUUCAUAAGCAUAUGUAUAAUUAAACCACAGGUGCUAUGAAGCGUAGACUGCAUAGAGAAUAACAUUAUAAUUCCCCAUAAGGAAUGCGGAAUUUCCAGCUACGUUCUACCUAUCUCUUUUACUAAAGAGAUAUUUAUUGGGCUGCUGUGAGAGCCUCUUGAGCUGCUGUUGAGCACCGAGAAGAUUGGCAAGAGAAAGAGGUUGGUGUGUAGAGCAUUGUGUGUGCAUCACAAGGUGCACGUGGUAGGGAUGGAAGGGAGGCAAGUGACUGGAGCAGGAGAAACUGAACUGAACUACUCUUAAAUUUUGAAUUAAUGAAGUUGCCAUCGAAAUGUAACUCCUAAGUUGUUUCUUUCUCUUUUGGAGUAUACUUAAGAAAUGGCUGUUGUGCCGAGGCUUCUCCGAGUGGAAUUCGGGGUCCAGUAGUCCUUUCUGGCCGGCAGCCUAGAGACCUAACGAAGAAACAGAGCCGAUCGGGUUCUGUGUCACUGGUGACCUCCAAACAGAUUUGCAUACUGGCUCCUCCAGCAGCACUUCUCUGCUCAGUGCGGAUGUUGAAGAGAGAUUUCACAAACAAGGCUCCUUUGCCAACCUUGUUGCCGUAUGGGACAGUACGUGCGUUGCUGCAAGAACCCGCCGGGUUGGCAAAUACAAAAAGCACGAGCGUGGCCGAGCUGCUUCUGUGUCUCACUGCAACAGGAAGGCAACCCUCUCCACUUGUACUUUGAAAGCUUAUGGAGAGAGGACAGAUUGCACAGACUACUCGGGCACGAGUCUCUGAAGACAUCCUGUUGUGGCAAGAAACAAGACCCAGGUGACAGCGCGUUCCCAAAGCUGCACCCUGCACUCCUGCUUGCCUCCCGUAAUUCAAGCAAAACAGUUUGAGAUGAAGUUAAGUAAUUAAAUGUGGGCUUUUAACUAGUACCUGAGGGCAACCAGCAAGGUAAGAGUGGAGAACAUAGCUCACUUGCUUCCAGUGGAAGGGAAUCUGAACUCUGUUCUACAGGAAUGUCGAAGUCACCAAGUCCAGCAUCUUGCAAACUACAGAAAUUCUGACCCCUUGGAGGGACACAAAGCCAAGUUAUUAACAAUUUUUAAAAUCUUGCCAUUCUCUGUAUUUAUUUCAAGGGAACAAACAACCCAAAAAGCAGCUUUUAUGAGCCUUUAUUUGAAAUCGGAGCAGACCAGUAUUUGCCUGGCAAGAUUCUAGUGUGUGUGUUUUUCUGCUGUUCCAGUUGUGUGCUGCUCUUACUGCCCUGGAAAGCCUCAGUUUUUUUCAUCAGCCCAUCAGAGUUGAUGAUAUUUUUUUUUAAGUGGUCUACAGCAGUGCAAGAUAAGUGACAGAAGACUCAAACCAAUUUCAAGACAGGAAGAGGGAAACCCAGCUAAAACACACCCUAGUUUUUAAAUGAGCUGUUGUUGGCAUUCCAUUUGGCUUUUUUUAAAAGACAUUUUAUGCCAAAGCAUUUGUUGAAAGUAACAUAAUGUGCAGCCUGCAAGCUCGUGAUAUUCUUGACAUUCUUAUGGGACAUGGUUGCUGCAUCUGGAAUGCUUUUUAUGUGCUGUGGUUGCUGAUGCAAACUAUCAUGAACAAAACAGAUAGUAUUUAAAAACAACAACCACCACCACCAAACCAACCCCCUGCUUCCAUGCUGAUAAUUUGUGUGUUUGGCCCUGACGAUCUGAGCUACAACUUGAUUUAAGGAUGUUUGAUCAGAGCUGAGGUUACUUAGCUUUAAAGGGGGCCGGGGGUUGUCUUUCUGAGAAGUGUUCUGGAGAGAGAUCGUCCUUCCAGCGUUGUGUGGGACAUUUGAGUGAUUUUCUUGAAGUUAAUGGACAUUGUAUGGAAUUGAACUGCUCAGGAUGUAACGAGGGUUGAACAAGCAGGUGGUUGGUGUUGAAAAAAUGUGAGGAACCUACUAGAGGAUGCUUGAGUAACACACCAGUGCGGAUUCUGUCUGAACUGGUCAGCAGCUGUUUGACUUUUCACUGAUUUGUCUUUCUCUACCUCUUUCCUUUUUUCAAGUAUUUAGCCACAAGACUACAUAAAAACCAUGCUGUAUGGGGGUAUGUAGACACCUGCUGUGAAGAGUGUGUUCUAAUGGAUGAUGCAGUAACGCAGGACGAUUUUCAACACUUUUAACUCUGAGCCUCACAGAGCUAGAUCUCAAGGAAGGAUUUGAAUAGCGGAGCAAUUUUGCACAAUAGGUUUAGAAGAUUGCUCUAUUUGUAAUAUUCAGGAGGGAAUAAUCCAGUUAGCAGAUACAGAAAAAGCAUAUCAAGCUGAGGUUAUAUAGGGCUUCAGGGAGAAGAGUUCAUCUGUCACAAAAGCAGUGUGGUUUGUCAUCGGAGCCAUCGUUCGAAACAAGACCAGCCUGCCCCGCUCCGCAGUGAAGGAGCUGCUUCUGAGUGGCUGGAUUGUGGACUGAGAGUCUUGUUCUUGAUGGUUGUAACUCCCGUUUCACCUUCUGCUUUAUGUCGGAAACACCCACCAAAAGUAACAUUUUGGGGCCAGCACCUUCAGUGCUGCGGAGCACUUGAGGCUUGUGUUAAACGUUUGUUCUCCAAGGCCGAUGUUUGUUCUGUGUUCCCCAGAGCAGGUUGGGUGACCUUACAGGGGUAGCAAUGUCACCAACUGCUCUGAAGUCAGUCUGGCUUCACCUUGCUUUUCUGUUCCUGUUUUCUGAACAGGUUCAUUGUUUGAAGGGACCGGGCAUCCCAAAGGACCAUCAGUCACAGCUCUCCUGUCUGCAGCCCUCAGGCACAGAAAUACGGUUCUCGCAGCCCCCAGAGCUUCCUCCAUCCCCUCCUGCCAGCCAGAUCCCCUGCGCUGGCAGCUCAGCCACCCUGCGCCCAAACAAAAGCUGCGGCAAACGAUUCUGAUCCGAGUGGAGCUGCAGGCGCCAGGGGAAUUACGGGCUGCUGGGAAAUGCCCUUUGGGUGCUGAUGUUAAAGAGCAACAGCUACUCACUUGGUUUUUCCUCAGGCAGCGCUUGGCUGGCCGUGUGCCUGCUGUGCUGCUUCCCCAGCCGGGCUGCCUGCCUUCAAAUUCAGGACUGACAAUACUCUAUUGAUUCCUUUUUUUUUUUUUGUAAGCAAAUAGCUCUAUACACAUAAUGUUACAGCUUUAUUUGGCUACAAAUUAAUAGUAGAGAUUUAAUUGCUAUGAAUUUCCCCAGAUGAAGCAGGAACAUCAGCCAAGAGAUGAUCUGUAACGCUGGCUUUUCUUAAAGUAGCUGGAGAUUAAAACAAAUACAUCCUGCAACAGCCGUUUCUCUAACUGCUGGUUCUCCAAGUGUGUUGAGCGAAGGAGACCUUGAAGGACAGGGGCUCAGGCCUGCUCUCCUCUUUCUGCUGAGAGGUAAUUGUUAGGUCGGCUCGACAGAAAUGGACCUUUCCCAGAGCUGAGGCUCUCGAGUAGCUUUUUCUAGGUUUGACUGCCUUGUGCUUCAGGUCUGUCUCAUGGAGAUUGACAUGAAACUUGUGGAUCUUCACUGGACUUGUGUAGGAGGGGGUAGUGAGCUCCAACACAGGUCCUCCGGUCGCUGUUCCACCCGUUUCAUUGCAUUAGCAACUCACUUUCCAGUUUGAUGGCUCCCAUGUUGUUAGGGCUUUCUUUGUAAGUGCUGUUCUCACUCUCUGAAGAUUUAACAGUCCAGCUCAGAGUUUGCUGCUGCUUUUGUAAGCUGCUUGUACAGGUACAGUCUUGGCUUCCUGAUCAGAGUUUUAAGGGUACCUUGGAGCAGUCCUGUGUCUAUUACAGUUUUUAAAUAACAUGACAUCAGUAACAAGCCAUAGCUAACCUUGUGGCCACUGAGAACUUCACUGUGGGGUUGGCUUCUCUACCUGGGAACAAAAGGAUGUUUGUCUGAGAAAGGAACAAAAGCACUGUAGCAUCUUGGAGGCUUUUUAGCUUAUAAGUCAAGGGGAUGCUUCUGCUCUGGGUUGCAGGUCUAAUCUCAGCUCUGCAGGGAGCACAGCAUCUGGACCUCUUUACAAACAGAUCAAAAUGCAUCUCAAAACUGUUUUGGGGUCUUUUCACCCCACCCUUCCUAAGAUGUUUUUGCAGAGCCCUUGCUCCUUGGUUUGGAAACACUGUCACGUUCUGAUGUGCUGUCUCAACAGCAGCACCCUCAGCCUCAGGAAUGUGAUGUUCUUCUAUGGUUUUACCUACUUUACUUUUUCCUUCUCAGCCCUUAUUUUACAAAGUGAAACAAGUACAUCUCCUUUAGCCUAAUGAAAUGAUAGGGUUUUACUUUUUGAAUCAUCAUCAUAGCCUUUGCCUGUUUGAAUUAUUUUUUGCUGCACAGGUGACCUAAAUAUAUACAAAGUUAUAAGUGAAAUCCCACCCACUGAGGUUGGUAAGUAUUAUCCUGCUUCAUCUAGGAGUAAACCCAACCGUAGAGGUUGUAUGAUAUGCCCGAACCAGCUCUGAACACCAGUGAGAGGGGAAAGAACCCGCUCUACUUGCUGUUAUGGAGAAGUUUCAUUCUAGUGUGUAUUCAAAUAUGCUUUUGUGCCAACGUUUAUUUCCUGCAUGGGGUUUUCUCUUCGUUCUGUGUUUCAGCAGUGCUCAAAAAGAAGAAAAGUGGAAUGUUGCUACAACAUCAACAACAUUUUGAUCCCAGUGUCAAUGGCAGCCGCCACUCGAGUGGAGAAGCCUCAGUCCAAAGAGAUUGUCGUACCAAGGUAUCUCCAGAGCAGGCAAUACUGAGCCUCUCUCCUUGGGGGACAGAGGAAAUGGCAUCACCUGGGCACAAUGAGAGCUGUUCCUGUAACGAAAUGACAUAAGGAAAUCAUUCCUAAUGGAUUUUAAAAAAAAUAGCAUUGCCUGGAUUUCGAUGUUAGUACCAAAGAUGUUUUUCCUAGGAGUGAUCUUCCACUUGUGCUGCCCCUUGCAGCUGGAGGCUGGUAGAGCUGGAGGAACUGCACCCUCUCCUUCCAGUGGACGCUGAGUAGGAAAACAAUUUUGUCCAUUUGUUUCAAAUGUCUGUAGCCAUCCUGAGAACGUGCAAACGGCUCGGUAGGAGUUUUAGAGUCAGUCUUUACCAGUCACUAAAUUCUGCCAGCGCAGCAAGCAGGGUCCCUGUAUGAAGUGCUGGUGGGUUCAUGGUUGCAGCUGCGUUGGCAGUGGGUGAGAGGCCAGCAGAGCCGAGGGCUGCGGUGGCACAGCAGCUGCUGGGGAAGGUCAGCGUGGGUCACGCUGCCGGCUGCAGGCAGGACAAACCCUCGCAUUGUGCACAACUGAAUGCCCUGGCAGCGGUUUAUACAGCGCAUACACCAGCCUGCAUGUCUGCUGACAAGUCAGGCUGACAAACAAGUUCCAAAUUCAGUACCUAAUGAGAAGCUGAAAAUGAGGUUGUGAUAUGAAAUGUGUGUGCUGGCUCCCAGGCGGUUUGGGCUGGAUAUUGCUUACCUGGGGUUUUAGAACAGUAGGCUUGGCCUGCAGGCAAGUUUAUGCUCUAGGUAUUGAGACAAACCUUCCCAGUGGGAGGAUGCUUCUGAUGGGGUGUAUUUAAGUCAUCACACCAAAUGUGACGAUCUUGAACGAGCCCCCUGGGCAGCAGCCACUUCCCAGAAGUGAGGAAGCAGGUACUGAUCUUGCUAACAGACACAGACAAAGGUGGCUUUAUCUGUUCUUAAUUUGGAAUUGUACAGAGAUCUUGAUGUAAGAAGUUCCUUUUAAAUGAAGAAAUAAUUUUGCUCAUAUAAUUAGUCUAUUACACAAUAGAAGCAAAACAUUGAUUAAAAUAGGGCCUAAUCAGCAGGAUAGUAACGCAGCAUGUCAUAGUUGUUUUAAAAAUCAGCUUAAUAUUAAGCUCAGGCUCUUGUGUCAGCUUUGUGUUAACUGUAGUAGUUUAUACCUUUUCCAAACAUUUUGCCUCGGGCUUGCUCUAUAAAUUUGGCAGACUAUAUUGCUACAGAGCUCGUCUGUUCACUUGCUGUUUCCCUUUUUCACCUGGACAAAGAACCAUCAGCUCUGUGUCCUGAGGUGCGCGUGUUCUGUUUGCCCGGGUCAAGCUGAGUUCUCUGCCAUUCCUUCCGGGAGGCAGCGGUAGGUCUGGCUCUGCUUCCACUGUAUUUGGAGAGUGACAUAUUUUUGAGACCCUGCCUCUCUGCCAGAGCUGGCGUUGUGUGAUGAUUUCACAAGUUGUUGAGCGGUAGAGUGGGGAAGGUGAUUAACAGGCUGUAUUGUUAGUAACCCCUACUUGUGGAAAAAGGCCCAAACGGUGCAAUCACACCAGAAAAAUGUUGGAGGGCCUCCAGGUAGCUUCAGCUGGAGUAGUUUUGUCUCUAGUAGCAGGUGUGGUUUUUGGUUUUGUCUUACGUCUAUUCACAAAGUUUUACUCUCUCUUAAUGCUGAAUUGUUCUGUUCGUGCUCAGGAUGAGCGAAAUAGAUAGUGAUUGCCCAAGAUGCUCUUUGAAGAGAUGAUACAAGAGUAAGGGCUAGUUAAUUAAAGUACUAAUUGGGCAAUAUGAUCUCACUGUAUAGAGAAGAUAAAACAUUUUUCACUAUACAGUGAUGCUAUUUAUAUUGGGGUUUCUCGUUGUACCUGACUGUGCUCCAAAUGCUCCUUUGCUUUAGGUCCCCCAAGAAAGCAGAGGGUCAAUGGGCUGGGAGGGGGUCUGAGAGACCCCCCUGCAGCUCCCAUCGUAUUUGUGCUCCAGUGUAUGGGAAUAUAGCGGAAGAUUUGGGAAGGAGGUUAGUUUAGUGUAAAUACGCUGAACUGACUUGCAUCCGUCUGUAGAAAAAGCACAUACAUCGCACUAACUGUUCUACUGACCUUGUGUGCUUGAUGAGUAGAACCUGUGUUAGAUAACAGGCCUGUGAGAAACUCUAGGUGCCUUAUCACUAUGUCUGAGAUUCCGUCUUUGUUGUGACAACGAGCGGGAGGUUGUGCCUGCCCGAAGCCUUGAAACGCAGGUGAUCUUCCAGCGGGGCUGAACUGAGCAGCACCUGUGUCCCCGCUGGUGUCACCUCUGCCCGCUGGUGUCCCCGCUGGUGUCACCUCUGCCCGCUGGUGUCACCUCUGCCCGCUGGUGUCACAUCUGCCCCGGAGCUCAGAGAUCCCCCAGUAGAGAGGGAACCAAAACCACUCGCAUGGCUGUCGGGUUUUCAGUAUUCCUUAUAUCGUGAUAUUCACUCGCUGCUUGUAACCCCCUCACCGUGCCAGGAGGCUUCUAAGAGCAGGACAAACAGUACUCGUACUCACUCAUGUGAAACAUGGAGUAAUAUUGGUCAUUUGCCUGGGGAACACUAUGAACACAAGGCCUUUGCUCUUCCCUCACAUUCUUCUAAAGCCCCUUAAAAAUGUUUUUGAGAGCCAGAACCCUCAAAAGUUUAAAGCAGGGAUGUUAACCAGCAGUCAAAUUGAGAAAAGCGCAUUAAAACGAUGCACAACAACCACAUUUAGAAUGCAAUUUGUCAUUUUGGAUCAGAAUUCAACAAUGCAAAACCCAAUUCCUUUUGCACCAACCCACUAUACAGCAAAAGCCGCUACAGAGGCGCUUUUCCGUGCCGAUUUUGCGUGACAGUUUACGAGCUGGAGACGCCAGGUGCUUCAGCCUCGCCAAGAAGCAGCUCUAACAGCCUGUGCUGCUGUUAGGAACCAGCUGAUAAAGACUUCGGGGCUCUUUAAAGCCCCUAAACCUUUGUGCUCCCCUCAGCCAGCAACUCUUCCCUGUCUGUUUGGGAGGGAUGUUAACUAGCAGUCAAAUUGAGAAAAGCGCAUUAAAACGAUGCACAACAACCCCAUUUAAGAAUGUAUUUUGAUACGGAACGGCAAAGUGCAACAAUGCAAAACCCAAUUCCUGUCGCCCCAACCCAAUACACAGCAAAAGCCGCCACAAAGAAGCGGGCUGUGCCGUGCCGGUUUUACACGACAAAUAAAACUCGCUCUUUGCAAUGCA